UCCCAGGUGACUCAAAUGGUAAAGAAUCUGCCUGCAGUGCAGGAGACCUGGGUUCGAUCCCUGGGUUGGGAA
rnacentral:tRNA from 1 species